rnacentral:lncRNA from 1 species
GGGGGGACUCGACACCUCUGGGGGGUGGUCCGCGGUGGCUGCGACGGCGGUGGAGGGUCCGGCUUCAUCCUCGGACGCCUCAUCCAAGAAGCUGAGGUCGAGCUCGGAAAAUUUUACGACCAUCUUCUCCUGGCAGAGCUCGAAGCCUUUAUUGAAUGCUGCUUGGCCAAACUCAACCUUCAACUUCUUCAUUUUGAUGGAAGCCUUGAACUCC